CCUACGGGUGGCAGCAGUGGGGAAUAUUGCACAAUGGGGGAAACCCUGAUGCAGCGACGCCGCGUGAGUGAAGAAGUAUUUCGGUAUGUAAAGCUCUAUCAGCAGGGAAGAAGAAAGACGGUACCUGACUAAGAAGCCCCGGCUAACUACGUGCCAGCAGCCGCGGUAAUACGUAGGGGGCAAGCGUUAUCCGGAUUUACUGGGUGUAAAGGGAGCGUAGACGGCUGUGCGAGUCUGAAGUGAAAGCCCAGGGCUCAACCCCCGGACUGCUCUGGAAACUGUACGGCUGGAGUGCAGGAGAGGUAAGUGGAAUUCCUAGUGUAGCGGUGAAAUGCGUAGAUAUUAGGAGGAACACCAGUGGCGAAGGCGGCUUACUGGACUGUAACUGACGUUGAGGCUCGAAAGCGUGGGGAGCAAACAGGAUUAGAUACCCCUGUAGUC
rnacentral:rRNA from 1 species